rnacentral:rRNA from 1 species
AUACAGAGGGUGCGAGCGUUAAUCGGAAUUACUGGGCGUAAAGAGUACGUAGGUGGUUUGUUAAGUCAGAUGUGAAAGCCCCGGGCUCAACCUGGGAACUGCAUUUGAAACUGGCAAACUAGAGUAUGGUAGAGGGGGGUAGAAUUUCUAGUGUAGCGGUGAAAUGCGUGGAUAUUAGAAGGAAUACCAGUGGCGAAGGCGGCCCCCUGGACCAAUACUGACACUGAGGUACGAAAGCGUGGGUAGCGAACAGGAUUAGAAACCCUAGUAGUCC